ensembl:ncRNA C03H12.3 ncRNA
GUCAAUCAGAAGAAUCGUAAAAAGUGAGCUCGGACUGAAGCCAUACGGUGCUCGAAAGGCAGCAAUCCUGUCGGAAAAGAACAAGCUGGCACGCAUCCAGAAGUGCAAAUCUAUACUUGCUGGCACGCGCCAAAAUGAACACCUGAAGAU